CAGUGUUACAGCUCUUUUAGAAUUUGUCUAGCAGGUUUUCUGGUACUCACCAGAAACCUCCCUU
rnacentral:snRNA from 1 species